UCAAGCUGCACUUCUAAACCCCUGCAAAAGCGAUAAGAGAGAGAGAAGCAGUGGAGAAAUGCGAAACAAAUCUCUCUCUUCGAUUCGUCUUUCCCGUCCACUACACACAAAUAUACAUAUAUAUAUAUAUACACAUACAUAUAGUGAUACGCAUAUAAAUCAACCACAUCGCCAUCAACAUCAGGCAUGAUCUCUCUCUCUCUCUCCAAGACUCUCUCUAUCUCUCUUUUCAGCAUCAUCUUCUCUUUCUCUUUCUAUAGCUCUCUCUAGAUUGUGAUUGCGAUUGCUAAGAAUUUUUCCUUUUCUUCCUGUAAUCUGUUGAAACAUAGGUAAGUUAUGUCCCCAACCUUUUCUUUUUUUUUCCUCUUUUUUUGUGUGUAUGUUAAACCCUAAUGCUCUAUUUGGUUUCCGAGAAAUCUGUGGAAAUAAACAUAAGGGAAAAGAAAUUGAAAAUUUAAUGUCGUUGUCGUCAGCUUUCUCAUCCAAUUGAUUUAGUUGUUCAAGUUUCAACUAUUUCAAUUUGACGGGAAAUGUAAGGAAAUUUGUUACUACAUUUUUUUUGUUUUAUUUUAUUUUUUAACAUGGUUCUGAAAUUCUUGGUUUCGAUUUUUUUUUGUUUUUUUUUGAAGCCAUUAGGAAGGAAGGACUAACUUGGGUCUUAGAGGAUUUCUUUUAACUUUUUCGUUACUUGAAAUAGUUUCAAGUGCAUGUGUGAUUGUUGAUGCUUAAAUUGCAAUUCUUGUACUUUCUUAGGCAAAUACGUGACAAAUUUGGUAACCUUGUGCUUAGAUUUUCUUUCUAUUUCAAAAAUAUAGUGUAUUAAAUGCUAUUACCUUUGUUGUGAUUUUAAAUUGCAAUUCUUGUUGUUGCUUAGGAAAAUACAUGACAAAUUUGGUAAACUUGUGUUUAAAUUUGCUUUCUAUUUCUAAAAGAUAGUGUAUUAAAUGCUGUUAUUGCUAUACUUUCUCUUUGGUUACAAUGUAUUGCUUUUGAGUUAAAGCAUAGUGAAAAAAAAAAUGGCUUUAGUGGUUCUUUCAAAGGAAAAUUUGUCUUAACAUUUACAAAUCACAAUAUUAAGGGAAGCUGAAAUGUCUUUCUUUGUAGGCAAAGGAUUCCUCACUUUUGUUAGGGUGUGCUUAUUUGUAUCCAAAAAGACAAACAAGCCAAAAAAAAAAAGAUUUGUCGCAUGAAAAACUUGCUUAUUUUUGUCUACUAGGAUUUGUCACUUUUAUUUGUAUCCAAAAAGAAUUGGUCACAUAAUAAAUUUGCCUUUUUGUCUUUGUGCCUGUGGACACCAUUAUUGAUGAUGCCUCGGCAGUGUUGUUGACAACAAUGAUUUUUUCUCAUUACAAUACAUUUCUGUUGGUUUGAGACUGGAGCUAGAGAAGAAAAAGAUAAUAUAUGGAGGACGACACAAGAAAAGAUUUGGAAUGCCCGAAGAUUAUGGAUGGGAAGGCGAAUGACAAUGUGAAUGAUUUGGAUAAGGCUAUUAUCCUUUCCUGUUGCUUGAAGGCUAGGAUCCAUACACUGAGCUUGAGGCUAAAUGCCAUUCAACAGUUGUUUCUGGAUGGUUCUCCGAACCUGAAUCAUGCUCUGGUAAAGAUAGUAAGCGAGUUUAUUUCAAUAACCCAAUGUGGCUAGUUCUCAACAUAUGGGAAAGUUCUUGUGCUUGAUGGCAUUGUUCAGUUGACUGAGAAAGAUGAAUGUGUCUCUCAGGAGAUGAUAACUCAUCUUCCC